UGUUAGGAACAUUCAAUAUUAUUCUAGCUAUUUGAAACUAUAUAAUAUACUAUUGUUAACUAUCAUCAUUCUAAAGUAGAACACUAGCACUGUCAAUCUGUUUUCUCACUAGGAUGGAUAAUGCAUCUGUAAACCUGAAACGUACCCAUUCUCCUUGAAGGCAAAUGUUAGGGCAUCUGCCUUAACUUUGGCAUAAAGAUGUUCACUGAUCCUGGCUUACUGGACUUUAAUCCAGUACUAAUGACUUGAAGCACACUGUGAACUACAAACAUAUUUUCAUUCAUCAUGGCAGAUGCUCUUUGAGACUUGCAUUGUGAGGACAGAAGUUCAAUUAAUGUGUUUCCCAUUUGUUCUUCUGACAGAUAGAGGCCAAAUGACACAAUGGGAAGAUCUUCAACUAAGUGUCAAGAAAAAAAACUAGUGUUCUAGUGUUCUAGAGUCCUCUUUGCCACUUAAAAUAGCCUUGUGACUAUAAGUGUGUCAUCCAUCAUCUUGGAGGUUCAGAAAUGGAAAGGAAAGACAUUUUGUAAGUGGCAUAGCAUAAAUGUCGAUAGAAUCCUGGCUUUGUCACUCCAACUUAGGUGACCACUAAACCAUCUGUUUCCAUUUUCUCUUUCACUUAUUUAAUAUACAUUUAGUGGUUAGCAUAAACUGACACUGUAUUAAAUAAGUAAAAAAUGAAAUAAAUGGUUGUUGUCUAGAGAAAUGCAGCAUUUAGUGUGAAAGGCAGACAUCCAAACCUCACAUGAUA
rnacentral:lncRNA from 10 species